UACGUAGGGUGCGAGCGUUAAUCGGAAUUACUGGGCGUAAAGUGCGCGCAGGCGGCCGAGCAUGUCGAGUGUGAAAGCCCCGGGCUUAACCUGGGAACUGCGCUCGAAACUACUUGGCUGGAGUGUGGCAGAGGAAGGUGGAAUUCCACGUGUAGCGGUGAAAUGCGUAGAGAUGUGGAGGAACACCGAUGGCGAAGGCAGCCUUCUGGGCCAACACUGACGCUCAUGCGCGAAAGCGUGGGGAGCAAACAGG
rnacentral:rRNA from 1 species